CACCAUUCUGAAGCAUAAUUCUGUAACAGAAGGAAUGCUGUGGCAAUUCCACAGGGCUCUGCCUUCAUGUGACCCUCAGAAAAGUCCUGUUGAACCGCAUCUCAGCGGCCUAAGUGGAUUUGCCCAGCAUCUUACAUCCCUGCCUCCCCGCCCUGCUUUUCACCUGUGGGUCCACGAGCCUUCUCUACAGCAGCUCCUGUGUCACGCCAAGUCUCAGGAAGAAUGACUGGGAUUUAAAGAUUUCUGCAGCAUUUGUAACCCAACCAUUGCAGCACUAGGCUAGGACAGGAGAGCCAGAAAGGGAAACUGACCAGAAAAUCAUGGAACUAACCAAUCUUCCAAGAGAAUGGCAAAAAGCAAAACACAGGAAUAGUGAGGAGGAAGCUGGUUUUCAGAACAAUCUCUGGGGUUACUGCCAACGUCAGUAAUUAUUGUAAUUAUCAUGUUGAACAUACAUUCUCAGCGCUGUGACUGGCCAAGCUCACGUUUGCACCAAAGCCAGCAGACUGCAGUUUUCUCACUGGGGUGCCUCCUAUUAAGCUCCCAAAUAAAGGUGCCAGUUCUCAGAGCUUCUGAGUACACACAGCUCCCACUGAAGUCAGCAGCGUUAGGUGCCCAGGGCUGGAAUUGUUGGUCUACACUUCUAAAGCAAUGUGAUGCAUCUGAGCAGCCUGCAGGUCAUUCUGACUUAAUUAAUGUCUCCUCCUCCAGUCCUUAACAGGGCUCCUGGCCCCCGUUCACCUUCUCCCCCAAGCUCUACUGAUGUGAGCUCAGCAAGCCACUACUGCAACACUGAGGGGUGGAUUUCUACAGCCAGAUGCAAUAAAAAAAAAUCCCAAAUUUUGUUCAUUGGGGGACUUUGGUGUUUAUGAAAACAACAAACUAAAGGCACUGAGCAUUGCCAGGCAUAGUACAGACAGGAUCCCACACCACACAGCUCUGCCAAUGCAUCUUGGGCCAGCAGUCAUAACACCCUGGAGAGAAGAUCAAUUCAUCUCAUUGGUUGCAGAAUGUAUUGGAUUAGCGGAUUAACCACACUCUGUUAGGGGGCCUUUUCAGGUAUUGAUAAAAAGGGGGAUUAUUUGAAGACCAUUAAAUAUGUUUAAGGAAAUCUGGUGCUAGACAGGACUGGGCUUUCUGACCAGAGACAUACGUCCACAGGCAUUAACCCUUCUUUCUCUCUACACCUUCCGAAGCUGGGGGAACUGGGUUUUAGAGACUGAAAAGGGAAUAGAAGGUAGCAAGGGCCUAGGGCUAGGCACAAGCAGGUGCACUAUAUAUUUCCCCAGGCAGCUGUACUAGUGGAUUCUCAUCCUAACCCUGGAGCACCUCCUACUGUCCCAGCUCCAAGGGUCCAGGCCCUCCAUAGCUCUGCCAAUAUCCCUCACUCUUGAUCUGCACUACCCUAUGUGAUUCCAGUCCUAGAGUCUCAACAGACCUCUGCCAACACAUUCCAGGUGUCACCUGCAUCACU